UUGUAGUUAAAAAGCUCGUAGUUGGUCCUUGGAUUGGAUUAUCUGAUCCUCCUCACGGUGUACACUGGCUCACUUGUCCCUUUUGCAUUGAUGCGCUUUUGGCCUUAAUUUAUCGAGUCAUGCCAUCGGCGUUAUUACUUUAAAGAAACUAGAGUGCGCAAAGCAAUGCCUAUGCUCUAUAUAUAUUAGCAGAGGAUAACAUUGUAGGAUUUCGGUCAUAUUCUGUUGGCUUUAGGAAUCUGAGUAAUGAUUAAUAUGGACAAUUAGGCCAUUAGUAUUUCAUAGUAAAUGGUGAAAUUCGUAUAUUUAUAAGGCAAACAACUACAAAAGUGUUUGUUAAAUGAUGUUUUCAUUAAUCAAGAACGAAAAUUGGGCAUCAAGAUGAUCAAAUACCAUCUUAGUCUCAACCAUAAACAAUGCCAACUAAGGAUCAGCGGAUGUUACUUUAAUAACUCCGCUGACAUUUUAUGAUAAAUCAAAGUAUUUGAUUUAUG
rfam:Citrus sinensis cultivar Ridge Pineapple sweet orange scaffold00001_contig_1, whole genome shotgun sequence.